rnacentral:rRNA from 1 species
UACGUAGGGUGCGAGCGUUGUUCGGAAUUACUGGGCGUAAAGGGCUCGUAGGCGGCCAACUAAGUCACACGUGAAAUCCCACGGCUCAACCGUGGAACUGCGUGUGAGACUGGAUGGCUUGAGUUUGGGAGAGGAAUGCGGAAUUCCAGGUGUAGCGGUGAAAUGCGUAGAUAUCUGGAGGAAUACCGGUGGCGAAGGCGGCAUCCUGGACCGGCAUUGACGCUGAGGAGCGAAAGCCAGGGGAGCAAACGGG